rnacentral:lncRNA from 1 species
GAACGAAAAGCAUAUUAAUUUAUUCUUUAUUGAUUAAUUAGCCGGCUCUUAAAUAGCCUAUAACAUUAAAACAACUGCCUCCUACUUUCUUCGGAGGACCUUAACAACUUGAAACAAACUCUUGAGUAGAUAAAUGGCACUACUCCUAUACAAUAGAAACUUAUUGCGACACCAUGCGCGUACGUCUCCCAUAAACCAGCAAAAUAUAUUUUGCUGCACUCAUACUUAACUAGAGGAAGAAGUCAUGCAUGGUUAUUAAUAUGGUGGUCCAGGUGGAGGCUGCGGACCGAAGGGUCUUGGAAUCAAGGUAGCUGAGGGAGGUGGAGGUCCUGGAGGAGGAGGGAGAGGCCCUGGAUGCGGUUGUCUUGGAGGCGGUGGAGGAGGAGGGAGAGGCUCUGGAUGCGGUUGUCUUGGUGGCGGUGGGUGGUAGAUAGGUGAAGGAUAGCCAUGUGGGGGAGGAGGGAGAGGCUGUGGAUGCGGUGGGUGCAGGUAGAAAGGUGGAAGCGGAGGAUGCUCAUGAUGCGGUGGUGGAGGAUGGCGAUGAGGAGAAGGAGGCAUUUUGGUUUGGAGCUUUGUUAUUGCAACGUAUAUGUUGUGUACUUUAGUUUAUAUAAUAAUAUCAAGACUGAAU